rnacentral:rRNA from 1 species
UGGGGAAUAUUGCACAAUGGGGGAAACCCUGAUGCAGCAACGCCGCGUGCGGGAUGACGGCCUUCGGGUUGUAAACCGCUUUCAGCCAUGACGAAGCUUUUGUGACGGUAGUGGCAGAAGAAGCACCGGCUAACUACGUGCCAGCAGCCGCGGUGAUACGUAGGGUGCGAGCGUUGUCCGGAAUUAUUGGGCGUAAAGAGCUUGUAGGCGGUUUGUCGCGUCGAAAGUGUAAACUCAGUGCUUAACGCUUAGCCUGCUUUCGAUACGGGCUGACUAGAGGAAGGUAGGAGAGAAUGGAAUUCCCGGUGGAGCGGUGGAAUGCGCAGAUAUCGGGAGGAACACCAGUGGCGAAGGCGGUUCUCUGGACCUUUCCUGACGCUGAGAAGCGAAAGCGUGGGUAGCAAACAGG